AGCAAGUCCUACCUUCUCAACAACAGAGGGGGAAACCGAGACUCGAGACUCGCAGAGAAGGUACUUGCCCAAGGGCAGAAUGAGUCAGGGACAGAAUGAAGAACAGAACUCAGGCAUUUUGGCUUCUAGGAUAGAGUUCCAUCAACAGGAAUUUUAUUGAGCACCUACUAUGUGCCAUAUAUGUAUAUAAAGGGCCCAGCUAGAUGCUGGAGAAAAAAAAAAGAAGCAGAUUAGUCAAAUUAUGGAGGCUGGGGCAUUAGAGGAAGCAGAGUGCCAAAGGACAAGAGUCAGCUGGGCCCUGAAGGCCAGUAUCCAGGAGCUUGGGUUAGGCUAAGCUCUUUUUACCUGUGAUGGGAAUCAGGAGAGUAGGGAGGAAAAGGAAGGUUGGCAAUACUCCAUCAUUCUGGUAUUUCCCAGCAUGAGAAGAAAGACAUUCCAGGCAGAGGGAACUGUGAGCAAAGGAGUAGAGGUAAGACAUAUAAUGCACAUAGCAGAGCAGGGAGCUGGAAAGGCAUAUUGCUGCUAGUCAUGAAGAAUCUUUAUUGGUGGUCUAUGGAGUUGGAAUGUUCUCCUGUGGAAUGUCCAGGGUGGAGAAGGGAAGCUACGGAAGGUUAAGAUGGGCUUUGAGAUGAUGCCUCUGGUCACCUGUAUUAAAACAAAAAUGAAAUGUUCCCCAGAAAAGAGUAGGAAACCAUGAAGAAGAGAUUUACUAAGGGCAAGAUAAGGAGAAGGGAAGGUUUGCAGUUACAUAGUGUGGCAGAAAAAUGUCCACUAUUUGUGCCCAGCCCGUGAUAGAGCAUUCCGAGCUCAUAUUAGUCGGAUCAGCCAAUCAGUCAGACACAUUGUAACUUGACUCUAGCACAGUGAGGUCACUUUGGUCCUCUGCAAGAACCAGAGACCACAGCCAACGAAAUAGAGGAGAAAGAUGGGUAUGAAGAUUCUGAAAACACGGACCCAAGAGAGUCCCAGAGAUACUGCUUUGCCAUUUGAAAACUUGGGAAUAAAUAUAAGUGGACCCUAGAUCCAGAGCUGAAAGGGACCUUGGAGGUCCCACUUCCUUACUUUACAGGGGAGGAAGGUAAGGUCUAGAAACCUUAUGUGACUUGUCCAAAGACACAAGUAUUCAAUGUCAAAGACAGGGCUUGAAUCUGGGUCCUUUAACUCCGGAAUGGAAAAGAUCCUGGAUUAGAAUCAGGACUGGAAGAGAGACCUUGGAACAGGGAAGGUGGUGGUCCGUGUGGGAAACACCAAGAAUCUGUUUCUGGAAGAAGAUGUUCAGCAUUCCCCUACCUCGUGAGUGGGGGCAGCCUUUUCCACGGGCGGCCUAGUUGGAACCGGCUGCAUCUUUCAAAUCACCAGCCUGGGACAGUCUUGCUGUCUUUCCAGCAGCAUCCAAAGGGUACCUCUAGUAGAGUCCCUGGUAAUGACAGCUCAAACCAUGGUGGUCUUGGAGGAGGAUUCCAGACCAGAUGCUGCUGAGAGCCCCACAGGGAAGGCUUGAGAAGCCAGGGUUCCAGGAGGGAACAGGAACAUCCUUGGGUGACUGGAUUUAAAUGAAGCAGAGCUGUAUGUAGUCAUCAGCCUCACUCUCUCUCUUCCUGAGUCAUCGAAGCCCAGUGGC